GAAGCCUCACGUUAAUGUCGAAACUAUUGGACACGUGGAUCAUGGGAAGACCACGCUAACUGCGGCAAUCACCAAGGUGCUUGCGGAUGAAGGGAAGGCUAAGGCUGUGGCCUUUGAUGAAAUUGACAAGGCUCCUGAAGAGAA